AGAGAGAGAGAGAGAGAGAGAGAGAGAGAGGAAUAAAGAAAGAAAGGGGGAAGGAAAGAAGGAGAGAAGGAUGGUGUUCUUGAGGUUCACUGCUUGGGGUCUGGCACAGCAGCUGGGGAGCUCAGGAGUCAUUUCUGGGAAGGCUGGAGGUGAAUAUUCCCUUUAACCCCAUGGUUCCCCCUGUAUUCAUGGUACCCCUCUUAGUGUGCAUGAAGAAAGGCUCAUGAAUGCAAUCUAUAUUGAAAAUACCAACCUGAAAACGGCCCUGCUGGAGGUCAGGUUUCCUCGGGGACAGAUCCUGGUAUGGAGAUUGUAUGCCGGGGUUUUGGGGAAGACUCUCUAGAGCAACCCCUGUGUGAGAGAUGGGAAAGCAGGAUUGGCCACGAGGAAGCCGAUCCACAGAGCGAUAGCUCAGGGGUUCUAGGUCUUCCAACACAGAGCUCAGGCAUUUGUGCUCCUCCUAAGCAGUUGUUUUUCAUGAGCUUUUCUGGGAAGGGCUGCCUGUAGGUGAGCAGCUCCCUUUGGCUGAAGGAGUGUCUAAACCCAGCUCUUUAGCUGUGUGCCAUCCUUCUGUAUGGGGCCUUGUAACCACAUGUGGGUGUGGAGAGAAACUUGGCAUGCUGAAACUUUGCUCGGCACACAAUGGCUAAAGUCCAAGUCAGAAUCAAACAUUGAAGAAGUCACAGAAGUUCUGAGAUGUGCUCACCUGUGUUACCUGGGGCCCCUUCACUGCAGCCUUGGGUCUGAACACACAGUGUAUAUACUUUAAAGUAACCGUGCACGCAUGCCGACAAUACCAAUGAUCGCUGUCUGAAAUAGCUUCCUUUAAAGGACCUCUGCUCUGCUCAGCGCUUGCUAUGCAAGCAUGAGGCCCGGAGCUUGGACUCAUAGCACAUAACGAGAAGAUAGGAAGAUGGCAUGACCAUGUGCACCUGUAAACCCUGUGCUCUGCAGGAGAGGCAGAUCCCACAUGGAAGAGGAAACUUGUGAUGAAGCCUGCCUUUCUGAGUCUGCUUACUGCAUCUGACACGAUGAGCUCUACUUCUCUCCGUCUCCUGCAAAUGACAUAAUUUCAUUCAUCAUGAAGCAAUAGAACACUGUUUGGAUUUAUACUGCAUUUCCCCUCAUCCAGCCUUCCAUGGAAGGAUGGGUUCCUAGGUUGACUCCAUAACUAAAUCAUCGUGAACAGACAUGAAUGUCUGUAUCUAUGGCGUA